rnacentral:misc_RNA from 1 species
GAUGAAGAACGUAGUGAAAUGCGAUACGUAAUGUGAAUUGCAGAAUUCAGUGAAUCAUCGAAUCUUUGAACGCAUAUUGCGCUCUUUGGUAUUCCGAAGAGCAUACUUGUUUGAGUAUCAGUAAACACCUCAACCUCUUCUUGAUUUUUCAAAAGGAGGGUGGACUUGAGCUAUCCCAACAACCUUUACCGGUCGGCGGGCGGCUUGAAAUGCAGGUGCAGCUGGACUUUUAUCUGAGCUAAAAGCAUAUCUAUUUAGUCCUCGUCAAACAGGAUUAUUACUUUUGCUGCAGCUAACAUAAAGGAUAAUUGUCCUCUUUGCUGACUGAUGCAGGAUUUUACGACACUUUAUGUGUUGUUCAACUCGAUCUCAAAUCAAGUAAGACUACCCGCUGAACUUAAGCAUAUCAAUAAGCGGAGGA